rnacentral:rRNA from 1 species
GGCCCUUACUCCUACGGGAGGCAGCAGUGGGGAAUAUUGGACAAUGGACCAAAGUCUGAUCCAGCAAUUCUGUGUGCACGAUGACGGUUUAGGAUUGUAAAGUGCUUUCAAUCGGGAAAAAGAAAGUGAUGGUACCGAUAGAAGAAGCGACGGCUAAAUACGUGCCAGCAGCCGCGGUAAUACGUAUGUGCAAGCGUUAUCCGGAUUUAUUGGGCGUAAAGCGCGUCUAGGCGGUUUGGUAAGUCUGAUGUGGAAAUGCGGGGCUCAACUCCGUAUUGCGUUGGAAACUGCCAGACUAGAGUACUGGAGAGGUGGGCGGAACUACAAGUGUAGAGGUGAAAUUCGUAGAUAUUUGUAGGAAUGCCGAUAGAGAAGUC